rnacentral:rRNA from 1 species
CCUACGGGAGGCUGCAGUGAGGAAUAUUGGUCAAUGGACGAGAGUCUGAACCAGCCAAGUAGCGUGAAGGAUGACUGCCCUAUGGGUUGUAAACUUCUUUUAUAAAGGAAUAAAACGAGGCACGUGUGCCUUUUUGCAUGUACUUUAUGAAUAAGGAUCGGCUAACUCCGUGCCAGCAGCCGCGGUAAUACGGAGGAUCCGAGCGUUAUCCGGAUUUAUUGGGUUUAAAGGGAGCGUAGAUGGGUUGUUAAGUCAGUUGUGAAAGUUUGCGGCUCAACCGUAAAAUUGCAAUUGAUACUGGCAGUCUUGAGUACAGUGGAGGUAGGCGGAAUUCGUGGUGUAGCCGUGAAAUGCUUAGGUAUCACGAAGAACCCCGAUUGCGAAGGCAGCUUACUAAACUGUGACUGACAUUGAUGCUCGAAAGUGUGGGUAUCAAACAGGAUUAGAUACCCCAGUAGUC